AUUGAACGCUGGCGGCAGGCCUAACACAUGCAAGUCGAACGAGUGGCGGACGGGUGAGUAAUGUAUGGGCACCUGCCUGAUGAACGGGGAUAACUACUGGAAACGGUAGCUACUACCGCAUACCAUCAGAUGUGCCCAGAGGGGAUUAGCUUGUUGGUGGGGUAACGGCGUACCAGGGCGACGAUCCCUAGCUGGUCUGAGAGGAUGACCGGCCACACUGGGACUGAGACACGGGCCAGACUCCUACGGGAGGCAGCAGUGGGGAAUAUUGCACAAUGGGCGCAAGCCUGAUGGAGCCAUGCCGCGUGUAUGAAGAAGGCCUUCGGGUUGUAAAGUACUGUCAUUGGGGAGGCGUUAUCCGCAGAAGAAGCACCGGCUAACUCCGUGCCAGCCGCCGCGGUAAUAC
rnacentral:rRNA from 1 species